GGGCUGCUGGGAAAUGUAGUGUGAGCAACGGCCGCUGAGGGGCGCCCGCGGCUCUGGAACGCGGACCUAGUUGGUAUUCCAUUGCCUCUGCUCACAGAGCAGAAAAAGAGUCAUUAGUGUGUGAAGGCGCUGAGAACUCCUUGAGCCUCAAACCUGUGGUCUUGACCAUUGUGCUGGGUUUCCUGGGAAGAUACACCAUAACAGUGGAUCAUGUUUUGCUAACUCCAGUGAUUUCAAUUCAUCCGGCUAGAAAGCACAUCCUGAAAGCAUAGAGAUAUUUUCCACUUCAGUUUCUCAGGACUGUGAAAGAAGGUCACAAAUCCCAUUCAUCAGAAAUCUGGGACCAUUGCACAGAGCUUUUAACUUUCUGGAGGAGAAGAAACAGGACAACGUGUACCCUGUGUAUUGAGAAUGGAUGACCUUGGGUUGCAGUGGAUUCCUUCCUGUGGUGACCAAUAACACACAUUUCAUUUGCCUGCUCUGCAGAUCUGUUGCCUCUCAUAAAAUUAUUGCUUAAUAGGCUUUUUAAAAAUAAGUGAAUUUGAAAUAAGUGAAUUUGAAGGGUGCAUAAUAUGCCAUUGACCUUUCCUCCUGUUUUCUGGACAUGACUCCCCUUCCCAGAAACCCCCUUCUCAUAACUGCUGCAGCACCCACUCUCAUGCUGUUUGUUUCCUUUGCCUGGACAUUUCCUUCCCUUCGUCCUUCCCUUUAUGCGUAGCAAAUCCCGCCUCAUGCUUCAGCAUCUCCUCUGCAAAGUCUUACCUGAGAUGCUCAGACAGUCCCCUAGCUCUUUCCAACGUUCCUACGGCUGGCUGAUGUAACACAUGCUCUGCAACCAAGCGGACCCGGAGUCGGGUCCCAGCUCUGCUGAUUUGAGCUAAGUAACCCCUGGCGGAUGACUUCACCUCUCUCUGGGGCUCCUUAUCUGCAGCAGGAGGAGGUGGAGGCCCUCACGAACCUGGUAGGACUGUUUUAGGACUGUGCGUGCAAAGCACAGGGAAGCACACAGUAAGUGGAACUCUUAUUAUGUGAACAUCCUUCUUUUAAUACCCAGUAUUUUAUGAUAAUUUGUUUUCAUGUCUGGCUUUUCCACUAGACCGUAAGCAAGACAAGAGUCAAAGCUUUAUUCUUGGUUGUUUUUUUUUUAAACUCUUUAAGUCAUCUUUAUUGAGGCAUAAUUUACAUAAAAUAAAAUGCAUCCAUUUAAAAAUGUACAGUGCAAUAGUCCAAUAAGUGUAUAUACCUAUGCAACCACAAUCCCAUCACGGUUUAGAACAUUUUCAUCCCCCAGAGAUCCCCGUCACACCCUUUUACAGUCAAUCUCCAUCCAACCCUGACCCCAGACAACCACUGACCUGCUUUGUGUCACUAUAGCUUAGUUUUGCCCAUUCUAGAAUUUCCUAUAAAUGGAAUCCUACAGCAGGUACUCUCUUGUGUCUGGCUUCCGUCAGUUACCCAUGCUGUGGCAUAUAACAGUCGUUCAUUUCCUUUUUAAUUACCGAGUAUUAUUCUGUCAGAUGAAUAUACCACAAUCUUUUUAUCCAUGCACAUGUUGAUGGACAUUUGGGCUGUUGGAACUAUGAUUAAUAAAGCUGCAAUGAACAUUUUUAUACAGAUCUGUUUGUGGACAUAAGUUUUCAUUCCUCUUGGAUAACUGCAAGGGAAACUGCCAAACUGGUAUCCCCAGUGGUUUGCGAUGCUUACAUUCCCCCAAGCAACAUAUUUCAGAGUUAGGCUGCUUCCACACCCUCACCAGGACCUAUUACGGUCAGUCUUAAUGUUAGCCAUUCUUGUGGGUAUGUCGUAGUAUCUCACUGUGGUUUUAACAUGCAUCUCCCUGUUGACUGUGAUGUUGAGCAUCUUUCUGUGUAUAUUGGCCCUAUGUGUACUUCUUUGUAACAAGUCUAUUAAAACCCUCCCUUUUUUUUUUUCGGCCUAUCAUGUUACUGAGUUGUGAAAGUUCUUUAUGUAUUCUGGACACAAAUCCUUUCUCAGAUAUUUGCUUGUGAGAUAUUUUCUCCUAGUCUUUCCAGUUUUGAUUUAGUGCAGUUUAUCCAUUUUGUUUUUAUGGUUAGUGCUUUCUGUUUUCUGUUGUCAAGAUUUUCCUUUCUCUGUUGAAGCACCUUUGUUCUGUCUUUGGAUCCCAUCGAUCUGUGU